AAGGGAAGGACCAAUCAGAGAAAGCUAGGAUCUGUAUAUAAGGCAGAGAGCUGACUGUCUUUAGUUAGUGUGAGUAGAAGGUGCUGCUGAAGUGAGUGGUGAAAGCAGGACAGAAGAGCUGAAAUCACAGAAGAAGACAGUAGCGGCUGAAGUAGUAGUAGCAGCAGAGCAGUGGACAAAAACUGCAUAGACAGAGCAUAAGGACCAUUCAGAGGGAAGGAAAACUGCAGGAAAAAUGCCUGGGCAGCUGUAUAGAAAUCCAUCAGCAGUCAAUGUUUCUGAAGCACUGACAGUCAGUUUGCAGGGAAAAUAAAGUAAAAAGGGCUAAUCCUGGAUUAAAAGCCUCCAGAUGUGAGUAAUUUAAGUAUGAAAAGCUGCUGAAAACUUUAAAAAUUCCCCCUGAAGACCGUGUUGCUGAAUUGAUGGCACUGUGCUGUUGUGUACCAUAUGCAGUAAGGCCAUAGAUUACAUUCGAUGGCAGACAAUUGUAGAAGACAUGGAAAGUGCUAGAUGUAAACUGAACGAAAAGAAAUGAAAACAAGAGGCUGAAACAGCUGAGCCAUCGACAACAGUAAAGAAACAAUGCACUGUGACUGGAUCAGUCUAUUGAUUUGAUUUUAUUAUAAUGAUUGAUGGCAGUAGUAGAUUCGAACUUGCUUUAAAAAUGUAAAUCUAUCAAUAAAACAUUCUGUUCAAGUGAUACCCAUAUAUUUUGU